CAAUUAUCGACACAGCCAAUGUUUACCUGUGCAUCCAAGGGACACUACAGCAACAGCGACUAAAUUAAUCGUAUACGAAGUGGUAACGGCGAAGAAUUCCCACCAGAUCUCGCAUAUCACGACAAAGUUUAAGUUCUCACCAAAUGUUAUCCGCGUGUUUAAGGAUAGCGUUUCAACCAAGAUGUUAUUUGCAAAAACUGCAAAGAAGGCCAUGGUAAUGUAAACUACCGACAUAUCAAAUAUUACGGUAGUUCCAGGAUAUCUCGCUUGGAAAUAGUCCACCGCUAUGAUGAAGCUGUCAGAGGUGAAUAUCGACGUUAAAGCAUUUUGAAAAUGUUUGAAUGUAAGUAUACAAACGGCAAAUUACGAAAACAAAACAUACAGCAAAUACAAACAAAACGAAACAUAUAAUAGACGUAUUAUAUAAACAGAACUACCGUGGAUAUUAUCACGAUUAUGCUUAUCUAAGUAUCUUGACAACCUUUGAAUUUUACAGUGAACAAUCAGCGCUUACUAUGGAUAAUUAAGCAAACAAUGAUCAAUAAACAUAAAUGCAUGCCAUCAACAUAAGAAUAUAUUGUUACUCGUGUUUUAUUUUCCAAAUAAAAACAUGUAUCCUAGGAAAACAAAUCAUACACCAAAUACAAACAAAAACAAACAUAUAACAGAACUAUCGUAGAUGGUAUCACGAUUAUACCGAUUAUAUAUGUACUAUUGUUCAUAUUAUCAUGCAGAAAACUGAUUACACGGGACAACGCUGGUUCUACUGGUUCUCAAGACAAAAACGUAAAUUACAGGAACAACAAAGGUCUUUGACAUUCGAUUGCCGACACACGGGGUAAGAUAGUGUCUUAUUGC